rnacentral:rRNA from 1 species
AACGUAGGAGGCAAGCGUUAUCCGGAUUUACUGGGCGUAAAGGGCGCGUAGGCGGAUAUUUAAGUCAGGGGUGAAAGCCCGGGGCUCAACCCCGGAACAGCCUUUGAUACUGGAUAUCUUGAGUUCGGGAGAGGUGAGUGGAAUGCCGAGUGUAGAGGUGAAAUUCGUAGAUAUUCGGCGGAACACCAGUGGCGAAGGCGACUCACUGGCCCGAUACUGACGCUGAGGCGCGAAAGCGUGGGGAGCAAACAGG